UUUAACAUGAGAGUUUGAUCCUGGCUCAGGAUGAACGCUGGCGGCGUGCUUAACACAUGCAAGUCGAACGAAGCAAUCUAACGGAAGUUUUCGGAUGGAAGCUAGAUUGACUGAGUGGCGGACGGGUGAGUAACGCGUGGGUAACCUGCCUCACACUGGGGGACAACAGUUAGAAAUGACUGCUAAUACCGCAUAAGCGCACAGGACCGCAUGGUCCGGUGUGAAAAA
rnacentral:rRNA from 1 species